AGCUUUGCGCAGUGGCGGUAUCAUAGCCAAAGAGGUCAGACCGAGGCGUGAUUAUUGCUAAUUGU
rnacentral:snRNA from 1 species